GACGAACCGAGCGAACGUUGUUCGGAAUCACUGGGCGUAAAGGGCUCGUAGGUGGCCAACUAAGUCAGACGUGAAAUCCCUCAGCUUAACUGGGGAACUGCGUCUGAUACUGGAUGGCUUGAGUUUGGGAGAGGGAUGCGGAAUUCCAGGUGUAGCGGUGAAAUGCGUAGAUAUCUGGAGGAACACCGGUGGCGAAGGCGGCAUCCUGGACCAACACUGACACUGAGGAGCGAAAGCCAGGGGAGCAAACGGG
rnacentral:rRNA from 1 species